UACAGAGACUGCAAGCGUUAUUCGGAUUCACUGGGCGUAAAGGGUGCGUAGGCGGUCGGGUAAGUCUGAUGUGAAAUCUCACAGCUUAACUGUGAAACUGCAUUGGAUACUAUUCGGCUUGAGAGUUGGAGGGGGGACUGGAAUUCUUGGUGUAGCAGUGAAAUGCGUAGAUAUCAAGAGGAACACCAGUGGCGAAGGCGAGUCCCUGGACAACUUCUGACGCUGAGGCACGAAAGCUAGGGGAGCAAACAGG
rnacentral:rRNA from 1 species